AUUGAACGCUGGCGGCAUGCUUUACACAUGCAAGUCGAACGGCAGCGCGGGCUUCGGCCUGGCGGCGAGUGGCGAACGGGUGAGUAAUACAUCGGAACGUGCCCAGUAGUGGGGGAUAGCUCGGCGAAAGCCGGAUUAAUACCGCAUACGACCUGAGGGUGAAAGCGGGAGAUCUUCGGACCUCGCGCUAUUGGAGCGGCCGAUGGCAGAUUAGCUAGUUGGUGGGGUAAAGGCCUACCAAGGCGACGAUCUGUAGCUGGUCUGAGAGGACGACCAGCCACACGGGGACUGAGACACGGCCCAGACUCCUACGGGAGGCAGCAGUGGGGAAUUUUGGACAAUGGGCGAAAGCCUGAUCCAGCAAUGCCGCGUGUGUGAUGAAGGCCUUCGGGUUGUAAAGCACUUUUGGCGGGAACGAAAAGGACUGUGCCAAUACCACGGUUCGAUGACGGUACCCGCAGAAUAAGCACCGGCUAACUACGUG
rnacentral:rRNA from 1 species